GAUUAAGCCAUGCAUGUGUAAGUAUAAAUAAUUCACUUUGAAACUGCGAAUGGCUCAUUAUAUCAGUUAUAGUUUAUUUGGUGAAGGAUACUAAUUGGAUAACCGUAGUAAUUCUAGGGCUAAUACAUGAGUAAAGCCCGUUGGGAUGUGUUUAUUAGAAUGAAAACCAUAUGCUUCGGAUGAUAGUGAGUAAUAGUAACCUAUCGUAUCGCAUGCUUAAUGUAGCGAUGAGUCUUUCAAGUUUCUGCCCUAUCAGCUUUCGAUGGUAGCAUAUGGGUCUACCAUG
rnacentral:rRNA from 1 species